rnacentral:tRNA from 1 species
GUCAAGAUGGCUGAGCAGUCUAAGGCCCUGUGUUAAGGUUACAGACCCCCAGGAGACGUGGGUUCGACUCCCACUUUGGACA